CUCCAGAGGCUCCAGAGGCCACAGACCAAGAAUAGGAAAGUGCAAGUUUUGCCAUCUCAGGGUCUGUUGUACGUGAUCCAGUUGUCUGACCAGAGAGAGGCCCAGGCCCACUGCUACAUGAUAAGGUUCUCCUAAUUUGCUUUCUACCUGCAUCUUCUGCAGAGAUGAAGAUGGCCCAGUGUGUGGAUCCAGGAUACACGGUGUCUCCUUGAUUACCUUCUUUUGUACUAUGCUCCUCUAAGUUGGAGACCUCAUAGCAGUCCUUGCCUGCAACACUACUGCAUUUGUCAGGUCCUCAGAACUCUUUCUGGUUCUACCUUUGUCCCCUCUCCUUCAGAGCCAUUCCCCAACUAUACAAGUGUCUGCACAAGUUUGUAUUCCCACCAACAGUGUAAGAGGAUUCCC